CCUACGGGUGGCAGCAGUAGGGAAUAUUGCUCAAUGGGGGAAACCCUGAAGCAGCAACGCCGCGUGAAGGAAGAAGGCUUUCGGGUUGUAAACUUCUUUUAAGAGGGAAGAGCAGAAGACGGUACCCGACCAAGAAGCCCCGGCUAACUACGUGCCAGCAGCCGCGGUAAUACGUAGGGGGCGAGCGUUAUCCGGAAUUACUGGGUGUAAAGGGAGCGUAGACGGCGAGGUAAGCCUGAAGUGGAAGCCCGCGGCCCAACCGCGGAACUGCUUUGGGAACUGUUUUGCUGGAGUAUGGGAGGGGUAAGCGGAAGUCCUGGGGUAGCGGUGAAAUGCGUAGAUAGCAGGAGGAACACCGGUGGCGAAGGCGGCUUACUGGACCAUAACUGACGUUGAGGCUCGAAAGCGUGGGGAGCGAACAGGAUUAGAUACCCCGGUAGUC
rnacentral:rRNA from 1 species